GAUCAACAAAAAACCGACACCAUUCCAGAAAAUACUAAGGAACACGAGGUUAUGAAGCCACUACACAAGAAAAGGAGAUCUGACACUGAACCUAAGCAAUUGAAAGCAAUUAAAAACAUUAUGAUGGCUCUAAAAGAAGAAAAAGCUCGACAAAGUAGUUUUCCUAUGAGAGGGAACCAUACGAAAGUUUGCAGUGCAGAUAACUAGAGAUUACCUACUGAAGCAUCUCCCAAAGUCGCUCAACCAAGUCCUAUUAAUUCUUGUCUUAAUACCAACGGGUUUAUCAGUAAAGGGCUUUGAUUCCACAGAACGAUCAAAAGGAACGCAUUCUUUGAAGCGUCGAUACUUGAAUUUCAUUCUUCUCCUAAAUAAUAUCUGUGGUAAGCUUGAUUGCAAUUGAUGUUCUAUAUAUCUGUGUUGUCAUCUGUCAUGGAAACCACUUCGAAAUCUAAACCUAGACAUGAGGGGAUCCUCACAUCUGGCUCCUGUUCUGUGAAGUCU
rnacentral:lncRNA from 1 species